UCUUAUGGAUGAGCAAAGAAAGUGGUUUCUUGAGCUGGAAUCUACUCCUGGUGAAGAUGCUAUGAA
rnacentral:pre_miRNA from 2 species